rnacentral:lncRNA from 1 species
CUGAAGGACAAACUGGCUCUGUAUUUAAGAGGGGCAUUCCAGCACUUCUCUAGCCACUGGGUUGACAAUGACUCACCAAAGCCUCUGGUAGCCACCACAGGACGCCCAGAGCAUAUGUUUUAAAGCUGAACACCAAACUGCGGACUUCGGGAGUAAGUGAACUGACUGGUUUUUAUUUUGUUUUACUGCUUUUAACAUUACAGUAACUGUUACAGGUUCCAGCAGGCUAACUGGGUGGAAAUGAGUUUGGUUUCACUUAGUCUCUCUAAAGAGAAAGCAAGUCGGUAGACUAAUACCUAAUAAAAGCAAAGUUGCCAACAAUUGAAAUUGCCUGGGCUGCUCUGUGUGUCCCACAUGCAUGGGUGUGGGUGCCAGUGUGUGUGCGUGUGUGCAUGCAUGUGCAUGUGUGUUGGGAUAGAGUGGUAAGAAAAUGGGAAAUAAUAAGAAUGUUCAGUCCAUAGCCCUUCAUUAUAAAAAGGUGAGCUGUAAUAAAUAUUAGUGCCACAUUUAGCCAAA